CUCAAAUGCAAUUUCAAAGUUCCUGAUGUGCUAAACUGCUUAAAACAAAUUUCACACUUGUGAGGUUUUUCUCCAGUGUGCACUCUCAAAUGUAUUUUCAAAUGACCUGCUUGAAUAAAUUGCUUAAAACAAAUUUCACACUUAUGAGGUUUUUCUCCAGUGUGCACUCUCAAAUGUAUUUUCAAAUGACCUGCUUGAAUAAAUUGCUUAAAACAAAUUUCACACUUAUGAGGUUUUUCUCCAGUGUGCACUCUCAAAUGUAUUUUCAAAUGACCUGCUUGAAUAAAUUGCUUAAAACAAAUUUCACACUUAUGAGGUUUUUCCCCAGUGUGCAAUCUCAAAUGUCUUUUCAAAUGA